CGGUGGUCCCACCUGACCCCAUGCCGAACUCAGAAGUGAAACGCCGUAGCGCCGAUGGUAGUGUGGGGUCUCCCCAUGCGAGAGUAGGGAACUGCCAGAC
rnacentral:rRNA from 6 species